rnacentral:misc_RNA from 1 species
AAGUCUUAACAAGGUGUCCGUUGGUGAACCAGCGGAGGGAUCAUUACAGAGUUGCAAAACUCCCCAAACCAUCGUGAACCUUUACCGCUAAACAGUUGCUUCAGCAGGUGGCCCGCCGGAGGAAUCCAAAAACCAUCGCUUUCAGUACUGGCCUCUCUGAGUUACUGUACUGUUAAUCAAGUCAAAACUUUCAACAACAGAUCUCUUGGUUCUG